rnacentral:rRNA from 1 species
CAAUACACCGGCCACAAACGUAAACCCACCAUCGUGCUUAAAGUCGUGGCUUCACAUGAUCUAUGGAUUUGGCAUUGCUUCUUUGCUUUGCCGGGGUUUAUCAGUGAUAUCAACGUUUUGCAGCGAUCUCAUCUAUUUGCUCAGCUAGCUAGUGGCAAAGCUCCGGCUUGCAACUAUACCGUCAAUGGCCAUGACUAUACCAUGGGGUACUAUCUUGCCGACAGUAUUUAUCGUUCAUGGUCAACAUUUGUAAAGACCAUUAGUGACCCCCAAAAUCAAGAAGCACAAAAUUUCCGCUGA